rnacentral:lncRNA from 1 species
CCGAGGCAGAGUCCCGGGAGGCCGGCGUCGCUGGCGGGAUCUGGCCCGGUGGCGCCGGGCGUGAGCGCGACGCCCGCUCGCCGGAGAUUGGAGGUGCAGGCUACUGAGGGAGGUGGCUGUCGCCGCGCGCCCGGUCCGGCCGGGGUGUGGGGCCUCCCGGACGGGUCGACCAGCAGCCGCCGGUGCCCCUCCGUCCCCGGGAGGGGUGGGGGCCACCGCGGGGGAACGGGCGAGGGAACUCGUCCCGUGCCCGGCCGUCGUCCUGAGGGCGGCCCGGUGGUCGGGCCUUCCGCGUCGCCGAUCCCCUUUCCGCGCCCCGCUCCGGAGGUGGGGGACCGGCCGGGGCCUUGCGGGGGAGGCCCGUGGAGGGCGCGACGGGCUCGGCCGCCGGGCUGGCCUUUUCCCCACUGGUCUUCCGAGUCGACCGGCUCUGGCGGUGGGGACCGGGCCCGGUCCUCGGAUGCCUCCUCCUCCGUGGCAGUUUUUUGUCCAAGUCCCGCCCUGGAGAAGAGCGUGGACCGGCCCCGGGAGCCCUCGAGGGCGGGCCGGGGAGGGCGUCCCCGGCCGGGACGCGUGCCCGGGGUGGGUCCGGGCCGUCGGACCGGACUCUCUCUCCGAGUUUCGCGGGUCGCGUCUUUGUCCGGAGGUGGGAGGGGGCCGGCUCGAGGCGUAGGUGGAGCCCCGGCUGAGGGACGGGAGCCACGGUCCCGCCGGGCCCGGUCGCCGGAGGCUCCUCCGUGGAAUUCUUUUCUAAGUCCUGACCCGGCGACUCAGAGGGAGGGACCGACCGGUCCCGGCCCGCGCGGGCGGCCCGGGGAGGCUGUCCCCGGCUCCCCCUGCCGCCACGCUUCUGGGGUCGACCAGAUGGCCCCGGGAGCUCCGGGCCUGGUGGCGAUGGGGUCGUGCUUGGGGUCUGGUGGCCGUGGCCGUGAUCCAGGGGUUCCCCUCGUGAUCCGUGGGUGGGCCCCGUCUCCGGGCGCGGCGAUUCUUGCCCCUGAAUGGGUGGUUUUGUGCCGCCAGAUAAGUGCUGACACGCUCUGCUCGGGUGACAGUCGCCCGAGAGCUUCCGGGUGCCUGGAUGCGUGUGCGGGGAGGUCUCCGGGCUCUGGCCGAGAACCGGACGCCCGUUUCCACCCCGCCGCUUGA